rnacentral:rRNA from 1 species
GAAUCUGGCUUAUGGAGGGGGAUAACUACUGGAAACGGUAGCUAAUACCGCAUAAGGUCUAAGGACAAAAGGGGGCGUAAGCUCUUGCCAUAAGAUGAGCCCAAGUGGGAUUAGGUAGUUGGUGAGGUAAUGGCUCACCAAGCCUGCGAUCUCCAGCUGGUCUGAGAGGAUGACCAGCCACACCGGGACUGAGACACGGCCCGGACUCCUACGGGAGGCAGCAGUGGGGAAUAUUGCGCAAUGGGGAACCCUGACGCAGCCAUGCCGCGUGAAUGAAAAAGGCCUUCGGGUUGUAAAGUUCUUUCGGUGAUGAGGAAGGUGAUAAGGUUAAUACCCUUAUUAAUUGACGUUAGUCACAGAAGAAGCACCGGCUAACUCCGUGCCAGCAGCCGCGGUAAUACGGAGGGUGCGAGCGUUAAUCGGAAUAACUGGGCGUAAAGGGCACGCAGGCGGAUUUUUAAGUGAGGUGUGAAAGCCCCGGGCUUAACCUGGGAAUUGCAUUUCAGACUGGGAAUCUAGAGUACUUUAGGGAGGGGUAGAAUUCCACGUGUAGCGGUGAAAUGCGUAGAGAUGUGGAGGAAUACCGAAGGCGAAGGCAGCCCCUUGGGAAUGUACUGACGCUCAUGUGCGAAAGCGUGGGGAGCAAACAGGAUU